UACGUAGGGUGCAAGCGUUAAUCGGAAUUACUGGGCGUAAAGCGUGUCGCAGGCGGCUUUGCAAGACAGAUGUGAAAUCCCCGGGCUUAACCUGGGAACUGCAUUUGUGACUGCAUGGCUGGAGUGCGGCAGAGGGGGAUGGAAUUCCGCGUGUAGCAGUGAAAUGCGUAGAUAUGCGGAGGAACACCGAUGGCGAAGGCAGUCCCCUGGGCCUGCACUGACGCUCAUGCACGAAAGCGUAGGGGAGCGAAACAGGAUUGAGAUACCCGGUCGUAGUC
rnacentral:rRNA from 1 species